rnacentral:rRNA from 1 species
UAGGGAAUCUUCGGCAAUGGACGAAAGUCUGACCGAGCAACGCCGCGUGAGUGAAGAAGGUUUUCGGAUCGUAAAACUCUGUUGUUAGAGAAGAACAAGGACGUUAGUAACUGAACGUCCCCUGACGGUAUCUAACCAGAAAGCCACGGCUAACUACGUGCCAGCAGCCGCGGUAAUACGUAGGUGGCAAGCGUUGUCCGGAUUUAUUGGGCGUAAAGCGAGCGCAGGCGGUUUCUUAAGUCUGAUGUGAAAGCCCCCGGCUCAACCGGGGAGGGUCAUUGGAAACUGGGAGACUUGAGUGCAGAAGAGGGGAGUGGAAUUCCAUGUGUAGCGGUAAAAUGCGUAGAUAUAUGGAGGAACACCAGUGGCGAAGGCGGCUCUCUGGUCUGUAACUGACGCUGAGGCUCGAAAGCGUGGGGAACAAACAGG